AGCAGCCGCCACGGUAAUACGAAGGGGGCUAGCGUUGUUCGGAUUUACUGGGCGUAAAGCGCACGUAGGCGGACUUUUAAGUCAGGGGUGAAAUCCCGGGGCUCAACCCCGGAACUGCCUUUGAUACUGGGAGUCUUGAGUUCGAGAGAGGUGAGUGGAAUUGCGAGUGUAGAGGUGAAAUUCGUAGAUAUUCGCAGGAACACCAGUGGCGAAGGCGGCUCACUGGCUCGAUAUUGACGCUGAGGUGCGAAAGCGUGGGGAGCAAACAGGAUUAGAUACCCCCGUAGUCCCUGUCUCUUAUAC
rnacentral:rRNA from 1 species